UGUCUAAUCAUGCACUUAGUUUUGGUUUCGGUUUCUUUAUCCCUCCUCUUUGUCGUCUUUUUUCGUUCUCCGCCAUAAUCGUCUUCAGGUUUCCCUCGUGGUCAUUUUUAUGCCUUCGUGUAUUUAAACCCCGAGUUCUCUAGUGUAUGUCACUAGUCACUGAGCCCAAUUUGUCGUACACGUUACUGGAAGAGGAUCGCAAGAGAACGAAGCGAAGCGAGACGAGACCAGACGAGACGGACAAACCUUUAGAAUGUAACCAGAUGGCAAGCCCCAGGCCUGAGUCGGAGGAUUCGUGUUGAAGUGGAGAGGACUCUUUCACUGUUUCUGUCUCGGACCAUUCUUCGCCAUUGCUACUGAUCCAAGGGAAUUAAGAAGCAUUAGUGACCCCAGAAACCAGUUUUGAUCCACCAAAUCAGCGCUCACGCAACACAACACCCCAGUGUAAGGACUACAGUACAAUGAAACUGCUGGUGAAAUCUACAUAUGAUGGGUGUGCAAGGAUUAUGUGGAGUGGGAUAGCGGAGAGGCCGGAAAUGGGAAUAGGUCUUAUUCGUGAUGAAACUCAUGAAACAUUUCGCAUUUACCUGGUUAAAGGAAGAUCUUCUGGAACUAUUGACACUAGAAUCCCCCUAAAUUCUGGCCUUCAAGUGGCUCUUUAUAAGGUUGAUAAAGGCUUUUUUUUCCUCAUCCUACCAAAUCAUUCACAGGGGCCCAGUGUUUGAUGAAGCCAACGGGGUUGUACCCACUAGAAUGAAAGGUUUUGAUGCCAGUUUACAGCUCUAUACUAAAGGUAGAUAUGCUUGUGCUCGACUCUACAUCAACAAGUCCUUCAUUGAUUGGAAAUACGUCUUCAAGAACUCUUGGGUGGGAUUCUACAAAAGUACACUGGAUCAUAAUGACAAGUAUAAAAAAUACCAAUGGAGUAUAAAUUUUAAGAAGAGAUCAAAUCAAAAUGACACUCCAGAUUAUGACAUCUAUGAGUAUGAAUCCAGCCUGGCUGUUGGUCCUGGACUACAAGCUCGAUUUAUGCUGGAAAAAAACUAUGGAAGUGAGAAAGCCCGCACUGAACCCUGGGAAGGUUAUGAUUCCAGGCUUCAGCUUUACACUAGAGAUGGAUACGUUUGCGCUCGACUCUACAUCAAGAAGUCCUACACCAAUUGGAAAAAUGUCUUCAAGAACUCAUGGGUGGGAUUCUAUCUAAGUUCCCAGGAUAAUAAUCGCAGUUACAAAACAUUCCAGUGGAGCACAAAAUUCAAAAAGAAGUCAGAUUAUGCUUACUCUGAGGAUUAUGACAUCUAUGAAUUCCAGUCCAUCUUGGCUAUUGCACAUGGAGUGCAGGUUCGGUUAAUGCUGGACAAAGGCUAUGAUGAGGAGAGAGUCCGCACUGAACCCUGGGAGGGCUUAACCAAUCUUCCAUCAAACAUAUGAUGAGUUGCAGAAGAAAUAAAGGAUCAGUGGAGAAGAGCAAUCCCCUCUACCCCAUCUUCCUUAACUGACCUUUCACCUUUGAAUAAUCACAACACCCAUUCUGGAGGACCGGAAACAGAGGACCUUUGGCUCCAGAAAAUUAGGACUCCACCACCAUUAUCAGAUUCAAAUCUAUACCAAAAAAAGGUUUACGACAUGGCUCAAAUUUUGUGGCUACUGGACCUGGACUGUUGAACUCAAAAGGCAUGAAACACCUCUCUUGGAAUUUCAAAAUAGACUCAUAUGUUCAGGUUUGCAAUGCUUGUUAAAACUCUGUAUUCUGGGAAAACUAUUGGAAUAUGACCCUUCCCGAAGUAAGCAUCUCUUCAUGUAGAGUACAAGGAUACCAAACUUGGAUUAUUUCGCUAAUGGGAUGGACAUAUUAUCCCGGAUUAAAUGUUUGACUGUUUUGAGCCAUGGACCCACAAUGCCUUCUAAUGUCUGCCACAAGGCUUCCAACAUAGUCAUGACAGAUUGGGAUGCCUACCAUUUCAGAAUUGUGCUCAAUCAUAGGAAAAACUCAACUAGUUUCAUAUAAAUGGCAGCAAAAUUGAUGGUUACUUUCUUGUCAACUUGUAGAAACGUGGUGUAUUCCAUUAGACCUGCUCCUAUAGAUCGGGAUAAAAGCUCCAUUUAUUACAGGCAAAUCCAGAGUCGUAGUCAUUGUUACAGUCCAGGGUCAAAUUACUAAUAUGGAGAUUCCGAGAAUUCAUGAUAAACUAAAUGAAACAAAAGUGCACGAAGACAAACCAGGAAUGCAGGCUAUAACAAAGGGGCGAGGAGAAACAUUCAGGCUUAUAUUCACAUGCACGGAAGCCUCGAUUAACAAACAGCAGCUGGACUUACAAUAAAUACCAACAAGACUAAACUAAAACAGGGCUUAAAAACAUGGUCAAAUGAGCAUUAAACCAGACACAAGUGCAAAUUAUGAGGGUUGCAGAAAACGAAACUAAGGAACAGAACCGCAACAAGGAAGUGAAUCAAAACAAAGACACUAGACAGGGAAACCGUGGAGACAUGAACGCUAGGAGGGUGGUCAGUGGUGACAGGAAGCUUGUUUCAGUCAUGGAUGUCUUUGGCAAAAUGAAUGCAACUAAAAUGCUUUCCUCAUGUGUCCUAAUAACCAAAUAAUAACCAAGUUCUUCUUUAUUUCUAAAUAAUAUGCUUUUGGGAAAUUGCAUAACUGUUUUCUUCUAUAUUGUGAGUUAUAUUACUUUCUUUUAUUCAGAAACACGGGAGACUCAGAUGAAAAGUGUAAUGCAAAUGAUUGACUUAUUAUAUCAUUGUCACGUUAUGGCCCCGCCACCUCCUCACCUGUGUUGCCACAGCCUCUUGUGUCGUGCACCUGUUUUGCAUUGUGUGUAAUCGCCUUUAGUGUAUAUACGUCUCCUGUGUCGUAGAGUGUUUGUUAGUGUUUAAGGUGUCCAGAGCAUGAGUGUUGUGAUUUAUGUAUCAUUCGUGUGUGUAACAAACGUCUGUUUAAUCGUGCCUCUUCUACGCAUCCUGUUUACCUCGAGACGUGAUCCUGGUGUAGAAGUGGAGGAGUCACAAGGGACUACGUCCAACUACCAUGACUGGUAUAAUGAUUUCCAGUCCUCGGAGUCGGACAUCGCACACUUCUCCCUUCUCUUGAACUGUACACGUCUGGCAGUCCGAACUCCACUAGAACAAACUCAGAUGAUCCGAGACUCGCCCUCGCCCCUGACCAACUCUUGGCCCACCUGAAAAACGCUGACAAAUGUCUCAAGACCAUAUUUGAAAUGCAAAGUGUAAGGUGGCUCCUGAGUGUAGCAGGAUAUGACAUAGAUGCCAGGUACGCCGUUGUGUGAAGGCCACAGCGCAGUAAAGAUAGAAGUGAAAUCUACACCGCAUGGUUAUGCGAGACUCACGUGGAGGGGCAUUCCCAGGAACAUCAUGCAACUGGAACCUACUCUCGUCCUCUUCACAAGUGACACAUCUGAGGCCCUUGAGACAUUUCUACCCCUUAAAGACGAAACAUCAGGAUCCGAGGACACUUUUGUUGCACUAAAACACGGACUCCAUUCACAUCUAAUCUCCUACGGUUUCUCCACGGGCCAUGUUUUUUUUGGCAUUCGCUACUCAGUAAUCUGGAGGGGGCCACAGUUCGAUGGGGCCAACAGGGUAAUCCCUAUCGAAAUCCGUGGCUACAACGCUAGCUUGCAGCUUUACACCAGAGGAGGUUAUGUGGUUGCUCGUAUGGGUAUACAUUAACAAUGCAUGUUGUGAGUUCCCUUUAAAGAGAGAAAUCUUUUUAGUGUUGACACUUUCUGCUACUUUCUGCUUCUGCUACAUCUUAUUAUGACCAAUCCAAGUAAAUUUCAAUUAUUACACUGGCUACACUUACAAUUGCAAUGUGUAUAUUUGUGUAUGUGUCUGUGUGUGCAUUUCUCUGACUUUUACUAGAGGUGCCCCUGCUAAUUAACACUGUACCAAAUGUAUUUGAAUGAUUGACUGAUCAACCAAUAAACCUUAUUGCAUAAUAUUUCAUGCUGA